rnacentral:piRNA from 1 species
UCCCCACAAAUAUCUCUCUAGGAAGUAGCC